rnacentral:lncRNA from 1 species
AACAAGUGCAGAUACCGCUAAUUUAAGUAUCAUCACAACCGCGAAGGGGAUGCCGGCAUUAAACUGUACCGCUUCCCUUCAAGACCGUGGGAAGGAACCCGGCGGCUGAAGUGGAUCGUCGCGGUUCGGCCCGUCAACGGUGAUGACUUCUCAGGCUGGAGCCCGAACGACAACACCAGAAUAUGAUCGAGGCACUUCGUCAACGG